UGACACGAUCUAUACAUCUUCCUAGACAUUUCACGAAAAGUCAAGUCUCCUGUAGUGUUACACGUUGAUAAAAAUAUAUUGUCUAGUUAUAACCUUUUUAAAGCAUUUGUGCAGGUUUGUUGAAAUAUAUUCAAAAUUUUGAAUUUUCUAUCCCUCAGAAAAAAUAAAUAAAAAACGUGAAAAAGAAAAGAAGCUGAAGUCAGCAGAGAGAAUAUAUGGGAAUAUUAUUUAUUUAUUUAUAUUUUUGGCUGUGACUUUAAAUACACACACCAAACCCACCAGCCUAGCUAAAUGAGGAUAAACACAUACAUGCCAUGAUUUAUUAUAAUUUCCUGCACACAUUCUUCCACCAAAUUCUCCUUAUUCUCCGUUCUUCGAUUUCCAUGCAUAUUAAUCAACCAUUAAAGUUGACCCAAAAAUUCUACCUUCCUCUUAAAUUCAUGGCCUUAGAGGUCCAAAAGUAGAACACCAAACCCAUCAAAAGUAGAACACCAAACCCAUAUGUUGAUGGGUACUCUUUGCCUAAAUGCCCUUAUCUUAGUACAUCUCCUGCUAUAUAUAGCUGGGUACCUUUCCAUAUCUUCACCAAACCAUUCUGAUGACUCUCUAUCUCUAGCUUCAAUCUUGUUUUUGCCUGCCAUAUAUAACACUCCUGGUGAAGCCUCAAUUUGUACUGGAUUAAUUAAGGUGAGAGAUAAAGAUGAGCAGAAGAGGAAGUACUAGUCCAAAGCUUGAAUUGAGGCUAAACCUGUCUCCUCCAAGAACUCACUCACCAAUUGGCUCCCCGAAUGCCUCCGAAUCAUCCUCGAACAUGUCGCUUGACCGCGGCUCUUGCGUGUCAUCGGAGCCUGAACAACAGACGAUGUACUACCAGAGCAGCCCUGAAGCGAAGGCCAUGGUGCUUGCCGGGUGUCCACGGUGCCUCAUGUAUGUCAUGCUAUCUGAUGCCGAUCCGAAGUGCCCAAAAUGCAAAAGCACAGUCUUGCUCGAUUUCCUUAUUAACGAAGAAAGCACCAAGAGGACAAGAAUAUAAGGAGGAACAUGGCUUGCUUUUUGUUGUUCUCAUGGCGCAAGUCAGUACAAUAUUUUGUCAGCCUGUUGAAGUUUCUUGGUUCUUGUGGUUAAUUACGUCUUUUUCUUUUUCCUUUGUCCCCAUAUUUUUUUUCCCCUUUGUUUUGCCCCAUCCAGUUGAUUGCCUUUUGAUUCAAGUAGCUAUCCAGAGUCAGAUUGUGAAUUUGUGAAUUUUCCUUUUGUAGGUACUUUCCUUUUUUCUAUAUGCAUGCAUCAAAUCAAACAUUGUGCUUUCUUGUUUAGUGGUUA